GAGAGGGAUGAUCCANCCACACCUNGGGANUGAGACACGGCCCAGACUCCUACCGGGAGGCAGCAGUGGGGGAAUAUUNGGACAAUGGGCGCAAGCNUGAUCCAGCCAUGCCGCGUGAGUGAUGAAGGCCUUAGGGUUGUAAAGCUCUUUUAUCCGGGACGAUAAUGACGGUACCGGAGGAAUAAGCCCCGGCUAACUUCGUGCCAGCAGCCGCGGUAAUACGAAGGGGGCUAGCGUUGCUCGGAAUCACUGGGCGUAAAGGGCNCNUNGNCGGCGUUUUAAGUCGGGGGUGAAAGCCUGUGGCUCAACCACAGAAUGGCCUUCGAUACUGGGACGCUUGAGUAUGGUAGAGGUUGGUGGAACUGCGAGUGUAGAGGUGAAAUUCGUAGAUAUUCGCAAGAACACCGGUGGGGAAGGCGGCCAACUGG
rnacentral:rRNA from 1 species